rnacentral:rRNA from 1 species
AUGUGGUCUGGAAAAUCGGUGGGGCGUCGCCGUGCGGUGCUGGUGGUGGUGUUGUCGAUGUGGGGAUGGCGCUCCGCGGCCAGGAUGCCGCGUUCGUCCUUCCCAUGCGGUUCCCUUGUACGCCUUAUUCGUCAUCGACCGCAUGGUAUACAAGGAACACCUGGCGGUGUCCAGCACGUUGGUGAGCUUGACGACAACUAUUACCGGGGCAAUGAGGUGAAGCUCUAUGAGCACCAAGUAGACACUCUCUUUGCUAUGUUUCGGCACAAAAAGCCGGACAUCAACUACUAUGUGUGCACAAUCAACAAGACCUUUGCCAAACCAGGCCAGCGCAUGUAUUUUCAGGUUAACUAUACUAAAGAGAACCUGCUCGACUACAUUGAUCCAAACAAUGAUACACUCAUGGUCAGACUUGCAGAUGGCCAUCUGCUCGCCAAGUGUCGCAUCAUGGUAGCAACUGACAAGAGGGCCACUAUAACCAUCAACUGGUCUGAGUUUCGUCGCCGCGCCAACAUUCGUGAAGGAGACAUCUGUGCAUUUUGUUUCAGGAUUACUUCAAAGCGUCGCCUGGUUCUCACCGUGCACCGCCUCUAG